rnacentral:rRNA from 1 species
AACGUAGGUUGCGAGCGUUAUCCGGAUUUACUGGGCGUAAAGCGCGUUCAGGCGGUUUGGCAAGUCGGGCAUGAAAUCCUUCGGCUCAACCGGGGGAGGUUGUCCGAUACUGCUAAUCUGGAGGGCAGUAGAGGGUGGUGGAAUUCCGGGUGUAGUGGUGAAAUGCGUAGAGAUCCGGAGGAACACCAGUGGCGAAAGCGGCCACCUGGACUGUACCUGACGCUGAAACGCGAAAGCUAGGGGAGCGAACGGG